rnacentral:rRNA from 1 species
AGUGAACGCUGGCGGUAGGCCUAACACAUGCAAGUCGAACGGCAGCACAGUAAGAGCUUGCUCUUACGGGUGGCGAGUGGCGGACGGGUGAGGAAUACAUCGGAAUCUACUUUUUCGUGGGGGAUAACGUAGGGAAACUUACGCUAAUACCGCAUACGACCUACGGGUGAAAGCAGGGGGUCUUCGGACCUUGCGCGAUUGAAUGAGCCGAUGUCGGAUUAGCUAGUUGGCGGGGUAAAGGCCCACCAAGGCGACGAUCCGUAGCUGUUCUGAGAGGAUGAUCAGCCACACUGGAACUGAGACACGGUCCAGACUCCUACGGGAGGCAGCAGUGGGGAAUAUUGGACAAUGGGCGCAAGCCUGAUCCAGCCAUACCGCGUGGGUGAAGAAGGCCUUCGGGUUGUAAAGCCCUUUUGUUGGGAAAGAAAAGCAGCAGGUUAAUACCCCGCUGUUCGGACGGUACCCAAAGAAUAAGCACCGGCUAACUUCGU